UGAUGGGCAUGGCUGGAAGGCCUGUGCCAGCAAACCUCACACCCUGUGCUCCUGAGACGCUGUUUGAUCAUUAGAAGGGAGUGAGAAGACGCAGAUAGGAGCAUUGAGUUUUGCCUGAUCAGCAGCUAAAAUCUCCAGAGAACCACCUGAGCAGCUUGGAGCUGUGCCAUACCCACAGGCUGAUCAGACUGCAGCCCAGGACGUCAGCGUGAAAUGUGGGAUGGGGAGGGCUUUUCCCAGAAGAGGAAGAUUUCAGCCCUAUGGAUGAACAUGUGAAUGGCACAAAAUAGAUGUCAUUAUUCUCUCAAAAUCCACAGAUAGCAUCAGCAGAGACUGAACCAGAGUAUUUGCAACUGCCUUUGCAAGUCAAGCAAAAUUCAG